rnacentral:rRNA from 1 species
AACACAUGCAAGUCGAGGGGUAACGGAAGUAGCUUGCUACUAGACGACGACCGGCGCACGGGUGAGUAACGCGUAUGUAAUCUGCCUUGUACAGAGGGAUAGCCCAGAGAAAUUUGGAUUAAUACCUCAUAGUAUUACUGAAUCGCAUGAUUUGGUAAUUAAAGCUCCGGCGGUACAAGAUGAACAUGCGUGACAUUAGCUAGUUGGUAAGGUAACGGCUUACCAAGGCCACGAUGUCUAGGGGUUCUGAGAGGAUGAUCCCCCACACUGGUACUGAGACACGGACCAGACUCCUACGGGAGGCAGCAGUGAGGAAUAUUGGUCAAUGGACGCAAGUCUGAACCAGCCAUCCCGCGUGAAGGAUGACUGCCCUAUGGGUUGUAAACUUCUUUUAUAUGCAAAUAAACCUACUUUCGUGAAAGUAGCUGAAGGUAGCAUAUGAAUAAACACCGGCUAACUCCGUGCCAGCAGCCGCGGUAAUACGGAGGGUGUAAGCGUUAUCCGGAUUUAUUGGGUUUAAAGGGUACGUAGGCGGUAAUAUAAGUCAGUGGUGAAAUCCUGCAGCUCAACUG